rnacentral:rRNA from 1 species
AUACGGGAGGCAGCAGUGGGGAAUCUUGCGCAAUGCGCGAAAGCGUGACGCAGCAACGCCGCGUGGGGGAAGACGGCCUUCGGGUUGUAAACCCCUUUCAGGAGGGACGAAGGUUCGCCGGUGAACAGCCGUGCGGAUUGACGGUACCUCCAGAAGAAGCUCCGGCUAACUACGUGCCAGCAGCCGCGGUAAUACGUAGGGAGCAAGCGUUGUCCGGAAUCAUUGGGCGUAAAGCGCGCGUAGGCGGCCCCGUAAGUCCGCUGUGAAAGUCAAAGGCUCAACCUUUGAAAGCCGGUGGAUACUGUGGGGCUAGAGUCCGGAAGAGGCGAGUGGAAUUCCUGGUGUAGCGGUGGAAUGCGCAGAUAUCAGGAGGAACACCAAUAGCGAAGGCAGCUCGCUGGGACGGUACUGACGCUAAGGCGCGAAAGCGUGGGGAGCGAACAGGAUUAGAUACCCCGGUAGU